ACGAACGCUGGCGGCGUGCUUAACACAUGCAAGUCGAACGGAAAGGCCCUGCUUUUGUGGGGUGCUCGAGUGGCGAACGGGUGAGUAACACGUGAGUAACCUGCCCUUGACUUUGGGUUAACUUCAGGAAACUGGGGCUAAUACCGGAUAGGAGCUCCUGCUGCAUGGUGGGGGUUGGAAAGUUUCGGCGGUUGGGGAUGGAAUCGCGGCUUAUCAGCUUGUUGGUGGGGUAGUGGCUUACCAAGGCUUUGACGGGUAGCCGGCCUGAGAGGGUGACCGGCCACAUUGGGACUGAGAUACGGCCCAGACUCCUACGGGAGGCAGCAGUGGGGAAUAUUGCACAAUGGGCGGAAGCCUGAUGCAGCAACGCCGCGUGCGGGAUGACGGCCUUCGGGUUGUAAACCGCUUUCGCCUGUGACGAAGCGUGAGUGACGGUAAUGGGUAAAGAAGCACCGGCUAACUACGUG
rnacentral:rRNA from 1 species